UUCUAAAAAUCCCAUAGGAAUGAAUAGAAAGUGAGUUUUUCUGUGUAAUCUCACAAUUUGCUAAAUAUGCCCCUAUCUCUAAGCUAAAAAGAGAGAGAAGACAUGACAAUACCUUAUGGUCAUACUCGCCGCUGUUUUGGCCAAAAUGAGCCAGUACUUCCGGAGCCAUGUAUGCCAUGGUCCCAGAAGUGCUGGCGCUCCUUCCUCCGAUGGUCGCAAAGCAAAACUCGCCUAAAAUUGUAUGACAAAAGCAGGAAUGUUAAUGUUUAGUUAGAAAUACAAGCCAGCAGUAAACACCACGGAGAAAAAAAUAUCCUUGUGUCGCUUACCGAUCUUCACCUCUCCGGAUGAGGAGAUGACGAUGUGUUCGGGCUUGAUGUCAUGAUGGAUUAUAUUCUUCUGUUCCAGAUGGUUAAGGCCCUGAAAAAUCAAGAAAGCAAAAGCCUCCAUGUUGUGAUUUUUCCAAUGAGGCCUUAUGAUAAAAGGCCCCAUAGAAGUCGACGAUGUUCUGGUGGCCAGACACAAUUUGAAGGAUUCCGACUUCUUUUUGUAUCUCCUGUUGCUUCUAGUUUCAAACAAAAGAAACAAGAACAAGGAAAGGAUUCAUUCAUUCAAGUAAAUCCCCAGCUAACGGAGAACCCUCUGUAUGAAAAAAUCCUCUGAUUGCAGGACUAUGUAUAGUGAAGCCUGGAUCUUGGCUUUAAGUCUGCAUGUUCUAGAAGGGCAAUGAGAGAUGU